UGGGGAAUAUUGCACAAUGGGCGCAAGCCUGAUGCAGCCAUGCCGCGUGUAUGAAGAAGGCCUUCGGGUUGUAAAGUACUUUCAGCAGUGAGGAAGGUGGGUAUGUUAAUAGCAUACCCAUUUGACGUUAGCUGCAGAAGAAGCACCGGCUAACUCCGUGCCAGCAGCCGCGGUAAUACGGAGGGUGCGAGCGUUAAUCGGAAUUACUGGGCGUAAAGCGCAUGCAGGUGGUUUGUUAAGUCAGAUGUGAAAGCCCGGGGCUCAACCUCGGAAUUGCAUUUGAAACUGGCAAACUAGAGUACUGUAGAGGGGGGUAGAAUUUCAGGUGUAGCGGUGAAAUGCGUAGAGAUCUGAAGGAAUACCGGUGGCGAAGGCGGCCCCCUGGACAGAUACUGACACUCAGAUGCGAAAGCGUGGGGAGCAAACAGG
rnacentral:rRNA from 1 species